rnacentral:rRNA from 1 species
GGUUAAGCGACUAAGCGUACACGGUGGAUGCCCUGGCAGUCAGAGGCGAUGAAGGACGUGCUAAUCUGCGAUAAGCGUCGGUAAGGUGAUAUGAACCGUUAUAACCGGCGAUUUCCGAAUGGGGAAACCCAGUGUGAUUCGUCACACUAUCAUUAACUGAAUCCAUAGGUUAAUGAGGCGAACCGGGGGAACUGAAACAUCUAAGUACCCCGAGGAAAAGAAAUCAACCGAGAUUCCCCCAGUAGCGGCGAGCGAACGGGGAGCAGCCCAGAGCCUGAAUCAGUGUGUGUGUUAGUGGAAGCGUCUGGAAAGGCGCGCGAUACAGGGUGACAGCCCCGUACACAAAAAUGCACAUGCUGUGAGCUCGAUGAGUAGGGC